rnacentral:lncRNA from 1 species
GAGAUGGUCACCUGGCCUGAGUAGAAUGCAGUCUGGAAGGAGAUAGAAAAAGACCACAGAAAUAGAUAACUUAUUGUGCUCAGCAGGCACUGUGGAAGCUGAGGGGAUAGAGUGGGUGUCCAUACAUGAAGCAUGAAGGCAAGUAUCAAGGAGAAGAUGGGAAGGGAGCCAGCUGCACUAGGGCCUCUUGAGAUGCCUGGAAGUCAAAAUGUUGAAAGAGAGAAUCAAAUAUACAGGAAGAAGAAAAUCUUCUUGAAGACCUGUAUGCAUGGAUUUUUUGUUGGAUUACACUUCUAUAACCAUUGGAGCUAGAGGUGAACAAAUCCCUUUUCCUUCAGUGGAUGGGGAUCAUCCCUAUGAAAAAGCUGGGGUGUACAGCUAGUGAGAUUAGUGGGAACUUCAGUCAGGUCCUUGCAAGGCUCCCUUUGUGCCUGGUGCUACUACAAAGAAGAACACAGAUACUUGUACAGGUCUUCCUUUGAGGACAAGGACUAUCCAUGGCCCAGAUGUGGUUACACUUCAGCUUGCUGAGUACAAGUAUACGGUGUUAGAGUGCCAUAGGGUAAAAUACAUUAACCAACAGACAGCAGCAGAACCUGUGGAGAUGCAUUGCCUUUCCCAAAGCUGUGAUCAGAAGCAUCAUGAACUUUCAGAUGACCAUCAUUUUCAAUGGGGGAUGAAAAUCUUCACUGAGAAAACCCAGCUGCAUCAAUCCAGACACUGUCUUUCAGGGGAAAAAAAAAAAAAAGAAGAAAAAAUGUAAUAUUUCUACCCCAAAUAAACCUAGUUUAAGCAAUUCUGAACGGCUAAGA